rnacentral:rRNA from 1 species
GAUAAACGCUAGCGGCAGGCCUAAUACAUGCAAGUCGAGGGGUAGAAGAGGCUUGCUUCUUUGAGACCGGCGCACGGGUGCGUAACGCGUAUGCAACCUACCUUCAUCUGGGGGAUAGCCCGGAGAAAUCCGGAUUAAUACCGCAUAAAAUCACAGGAUGGCAUUAUCCAAUGAUCAAACAUUUAUGGGAUGGAUAUGGGCAUGCGUGUCAUUAGCUAGUUGGCGGGGUAACGGCCCACCAAGGCGACGAUGACUAGGGGAUCUGAGAGGAUGGCCCCCCACACUGGUACUGAGACACGGACCAGACUCAUACGGGAGGCAGCAGUAAGGAAUAUUGGUCAAUGGAGGCAAAUCUGAACCAGCCAUGCCGCGUGCAGGAAGACUGCCCUAUGGGUUGUAAGCUGCUUUUAUUCGGGAAUAAACCUUAUUACGUGUAAUAAGCUGAAUGUACCGAAGGAAUAAGGAUCGGCUAACUCCGUGCCAGCCGCCGCAGUAA